UGAUGCUUCUAAAAUACACAUGAGCCCAGUUGGUGUUGCAGUAUGGAUCCCCUCCACAAGAAUUGUAUUAAGUUAUAGCUGCCCAACUGUCACUUCGGUAUUCACAGGGGAAGCAAUUGCUAUACUUGAAGCUAUUUUAUUUAUUAAGUCCCAUGGCCUAAACAAUUCUAUUAUAUUAUCAGACUCCAAAAGCUGCCUUCAAUCCAUCCUCUCAAAUCCAUUUCGCUCAAAAAGUAGGUUUCCAAUUAUACUUAAGAUAAGAGAAAACUUGAAAGAGUGCUAUGAUCUCAACAUCAACAUAGUUCUAGCAUGGAUACCAGGCCAUGCAGGUAUAAUCGGCAAUGAAAAUGCUGAUGCUUGUGCCAGGUCAGCUGCUCAUACAGGUUCCCAACAACAUUCUCAAAUCUUCUCUCAUGACUUGUGCUCCACUUUGAAAAUAAAUAUGUUUGAGAGGUGGUCAAACAUCUGGCAGGUUUCCAAAACUGCUAAAGGCGUCUUUUAUGGUGAUAUACAACCUGUAAUCCCUUUAAAACCGUGGUUCUCGAAAUUUAGAUUCCCCAAUAAAUCAAUAAUAUCAACAGUUUGCCGGUUACGCUUAAACCACUCUUGCACUCCAGUAUUCCUAGCCAAAUUAAGAAUUAGAGACCAUUCUCUAUGUGAAUGUGGACUUGAUGAGGGAAAUGUAGACCAUUUAUUCUUUAAUUGCCCUUUAAUGAAGUCUUCCUUGUACAACUUUAUACCUCCUGAAAUCCCCCGCCCCACCUCCAUGAAAUGCCUCCUCACCUUUGUUUUCACUCCUUUUGUAAAUACUUUAUGUAUAAUAAGAAAAUAAAUCUGUUUUGAUUCUGGGCACUGGUCAUUACUAUAAUCACUUAUAAAUUCGUUUACACCGAUCAAAUGACACACUCUAAGCUUGUUGGUCUACUGAAACGUGACAUUGGCGAGUUGUGGUGCCCCUUCCACAGAAGCCACUAGAAAGAAUAGAAUAGAAUAGAAUUCGUCUUCUCCAAAGUGUAUAUUUUAACAGUACUGCACAGGUCAAACUGGAGAAGAGUGAGAGGUGUCCGCCAAGGCGACCCUAUUUCUGCUUAGUUCUUCACGGCAGUCCUAGAGAUGAUUUUCAGAAACGUUUUGGCCUAAAUAUAAACGGGGAAAAAUUUAACCAAUUUGCAGAUGACAAUAUUGUAUUAUCGGAGGGUGAAAACCAUCUAGAGCAAAUGUUGCAACAACUUGCAAACUAAAGUGCUAAAGCUUAAGGCUUGCAAAUAAAUGCGUCCAAAACAAAAAUCAUAACCAACUCCGGCACAACUGGUUCGAUAGUAGUUAAUAAUGAAAUAGUAGAAUAUGUCACAGAAUAAAUCUAUUUAGGACAAUUAUUAAUAACCCAUGAAAAUAACAUGAAGAAAGAAAUAAACAGACGCAUUUGUAAUACUUGGAAAAGAUACUGGUCCUUGAGUGAAACCAUGAAAGGCACCGAAAUAUCUAUGGGAAUAAAAGGAAAUGUCUGUAACACGUAUAUACCCUCGUGUCUAACAUCAUCAUCAGCCGGAAGACGUCCACUGCUGACAAGGGCCUCCCUCAAAGAUUUCCGCGACGAUCUUUCCUGAAUCAUCGAUCUUGACCAAAUCGUCGGUCCAUCUUGUGGAGGGCCAUGCCAACACUACGUCUUCUAGUACGUGGUCGCCAUUCGAGGACUUUACUGCCCCAGCGGCCAUCUGUCCGUCGAACUAUGUGCCUUGCCUACUGCCACUUCAGUUUCGUAAUCAUUUGGGCUUUGCCGGUGACUUUGGUCUAACAAUUGGAUGUCAAACUUGGGCUCCACCAGACCAUCUCUCAGAAAACCAGACUGGAUAAGAGUAGCUAGAGACUGAAUAAAGUGGAAAUCCUUAGAGGAGGCCUUUGUCGAGAGACAAUUAUUAGUUAAGUUUUAUUUAGACAAAAGAUAAGGUAGUUCUUAUAAUAAAGGCUAUUUUGUUUUA